AAAAAAAAAAAACUUAGCAAUCAAAUAUCAAAAAAUAAAAAAUAUUAUUAAAAAAUUAAAUGUCAAAAUAUAUUUUCUUACGGAGAAAUGGACCCUACGCCGUAUUCUGGCCACUCUCCUCCUUGAAACAAUUAUAUGCUGUUGUGGAUAAUAUACCACGCCUAAGUUGGGCUAAAAAAAGCUUACCAGCACAUGUGGUCCAUCCCCAAUCAAUUCGAUGGCUUGAACAGGUUCUUGGACCAUGCUUACCAAAUUAUUUGGCCUCCUGAACCAAUGCCGCGGAUUUGACCACUGCAUGCUAGCAAACUAAUUAAAAAUAUUUAAAUAUUAUAAUUAAUGGUAUAAAAAUUAAUAUAAUUAAAACUUACAUUUCUAAAAAAAGCUCUAUCCAUUAUAUUGUCCAUUUUUAAUUUCAGUUCUUCUUUUUUAUUUUUAUUUUUGUUAUCGAUUUUUUUUUUUUUUUGCGUUCUAUCGAUUUUAAUUUUUCAAGUCGAUGACACUGAAAAUAUUCAUCAAAUUCGCUACUUAUAUUCAACUGCUGACCAUAAGUGGCUGUGAAUUGUAAAAAUAAAAAAAAUUGAAUAUCGAACCAAAAUCGAUUUACAAAAAUUAGGUUUGGGUCUUUACUAAACAAA